GAGCAUCCUGUGUUUGCUUGCCUUAGUAAAGUCGACUUAAGAUGGAUCCAGUUACGCUUAUUGGAGCUGGUGUCGGAGCAGUCAUCACAGUCGCUGCAGCUCCGGCUGUUCUAGCAGCGGCAGGUUUCACCGCGGGAGGGAUUGCUGCAGGUUCUGUUGCCUCCUCUUUGAUGUCAGCCGCUGCUGUCUGUCACAGUGAUCAGCAUCACUUAGAAUGUUGUGCUAUCAGUAGCUCUAGCUUUAGGUGUGUAUGAGAUCAUCUUUUCAUACACACCUGUGUUAAGGGUGCUGUUUAUAGCUCUGACAAUACAAGAAGAAGAAAAAAUAUAUUCACUUUCUCUGUCAUUUCUUUAGCUAGCCUAUCAUAAACCAAAUUUGUGUAAUUAACUGUUAUGAGUUACUCUAACUGUCAUUAGGGGAGUUUUGCUGAAUAAUGAAAAGGGUUUCUUCAAUUUCUGCACAUUCUGGAUCCAUAGGCACUAUUUUUUAUGUGGUCAGCAAACUUAUAUAAGCUUGUAAGAGAACUUCUCUGAAUGGGUUCUCCACCACGUGUUUCCUACAUGGCUAUCCAAAUGUUUCAAAGGCUUUUGCAAGCACUUGUGUGUGUUUGCAAAUGUAUUUGUAUGGACCUGCAGUUACAAUAUGUAUGUAGAGACCUUGUUU
ensembl:lncRNA